CCGUCACGCGUCUAGCGCACCUUCAGUUAGCGCCUAGAUACGCCACUGCUGCCGGUGAGUGAUGAUGAUAGUGAGAAAGUCAUCGGCAUAUCUCAUGAUCAACCAUUUGGUGAGUACCAUCGAUAGGAGCAAAGAGGAGGAGAUAAAAAACAAACUGAUGGGCAGAACAAAUGAUAAUGUAAUCAAAAGUGCAUGUUCAUUGCGAACCUAAGCUUAUCUUCCUAAUUCUGCGAUUAAAUUAAUUUUGAAUUCGUCUUAGAAGACUAUUAGUAUAAGUGCUAGCUGUUAGAAUCCUCGUGAAGCAGUUGAUAUCGGUUUACCUCUAUCAUUGGACCUGAUAGUCCAAUUAUCAAUUAUCUAUCCUGCUCGAUCCCGUACUUGUGUACAUUAGCCCAAUAUUCAAUAGAACGGUCCUAUUAGAACAUGAAUGCAACAUAACCCAUCCAGUGCACCCCAUCGGUAAGAACAUCCUAGCUGAUCUUUAGCUUUAGUUAAUUACUAAGCAAUUACACUACUUAUUAGAUCCCUAAUUGAAUGGUUAAUACGCACGCGACUAAAACAUCAUCCAACGAUUAAGCGAAGGGACUAAACGUAAGUAGUUAAAAUUGUAGUAGUUUUGUAUCCCAAACUCACAUCCAUAUCACGAUCAGGGGUUCGCAAAACAAUGCGUACGGAGCCAAUUAAGAUUUUAUCGAACUGGUGAUAUCGAUUGAGUCCAUUAAUACGAGAAACUAUUAGGUAUGAAGUUAAUAAGAGCUCAAAUGUUGUCCAACAGGAAAUUAUAUUCUCCCAAUAUCGAACUACUGGCGUUUCAUUUGCCUGCAACCGGAGAAUCAUAUUUCGGAAAUCGUUCCCGUUGAAACCGUGUUU